rnacentral:lncRNA from 1 species
GCCGAGGACUGGAGCUGUGCACUAUGCCAGGUUAGUGCACCGUCUGAAGCUGGUCUAAAUGAGCAUCUUGGAGGAACAGAGCAUAAGGCGAAGUUGGCACAAUGUAGCGUCAGCAAGGCGACCAAAGAUGACAAAAACUGCUUGCAGACGACCACUGGGAAUGAGAGCAACACAGAUCCUUGUGAUGCACCUAAGAAAAUAUGCAUGCUAGUAGACAGUGCAACAUGUGAAGCUGGUCUAAAUGAGGAUCUUGGAGGAAGAAAACAUAAGGCGAAGUUGGCACAAUGUGGCGUCAGCAAGGCGAUCAAAGAUGACAAAAACUGCUUGCAGACGACCACUGGGAAUGAGAACAACACAGAUCCUUGUGAUGCACCUAAGAAAAUAUGCAUGCUAGUAGAUGGUGAAAUGCAUGAAGUUGUUCGGAAGAACAACUAUCUGUGGUGUGAUCUCUGCAGAGUCAGGUGCGAUAGUAACAGCAUCAUGGCUGGCCAUCUGCGUAGCAAGAAGCACAGUAAAUUAAACAAGGUUUCGACGUCGAUAAAGGCUGUGAGGACAAAUACCGAUACUAAGGAAGGUUUGACUUCUUUUGGAAGUCAGGUAAAUACAAACGGCUCUACUGAAAUUCCAGCGGUAAUUGAAGGCGACAUAAAUAUGACCACCAAAGUAGAUGAAAGUGGCCCUGUAGAAAAUCCAGUCCAGAAAGAAAUCCAUCCGUUGAGCAAGAAGCACAGUAAAUUAAACGAUGGUUGGACAUCGAUAAAGGCUGUGAGGACAAAUACCGAUACUAAGAAAGAAAUCCAUCCGGGGAGCAAGAAGCACAGUAAAUUAAACGAUGGUUGGACAUCGAUAAAGGCUGUGAGGACAAAUACCGAUACUAAGAAAGAAAUCCAUCCGGGGAGCAAGAAGCACAGUAAAUUAAACAAGGUUUCAACAUCGAUAAAGGUUGUGAGGUCUAAUACCGAUACUAAGGAAGGUUUACCUUCUUGUG